rnacentral:rRNA from 1 species
GCUUGCUUUUUAAGUUAGCGGCGGACGGGUGAGUAACACGUGGGCAUCCUGCCUGUAAGACUGGGAUAACUUCGGGAAACCGGAGCUAAUACCGGAUAAUCCUUUUCUACUCAUGUAGGAAAGCUGAAAGACGGUUUACGCUGUCACUUACAGAUGGGCCCGCGGCGCAUUAGCUAGUUGGUGAGGUAACGGCUCACCAAGGCGACGAUGCGUAGCCGACCUGAGAGGGUGAUCGGCCACACUGGGACUGAGACACGGCCCAGACUCCUACGGGAGGCAGCAGUAGGGAAUCUUCCGCAAUGGACGAAAGUCUGACGGAGCAACGCCGCGUGAGUGAUGAAGGUUUUCGGAUCGUAAAACUCUGUUGUUAGGGAAGAACAAGUACGAGAGUAACUGCUCCUACCUUGACGGUACCUAACCAGAAAGCCACGGCUAACUACGUGCCAGCAGCCGCGGUAAUACGUAGGUGGCAAGCGUUGUCCGGAAUUAUUGGGCGUAAAGCGCGCGCAGGCGGUCCUUUAAGUCUGAUGUGAAAGCCCACGGCUCAACCGUGGAGGGUCAUUGGAAACUGGGGGACUUGAGUGCAGAA